UACGUAGGGUGCAAGCGUUGUCCGGAAUUAUUGGGCGUAAAGAGCUCGCAGGCGGUCUGUCACGUCGGCUGUGAAAUCCCGAGGCUCAACCUCGGGUCUGCAGUCGAUACGGGCAAACUAGAGUAUUGCAGGGGAGACUGGAAUUCCUGGUGUAGCGGUGAAAUGCGCAGAUAUCAGGAGGAACACCGGUGGCGAAGGCGGGUCUCUGGGCAAUAACUGACGCUGAGGAGCGAAAGCGUGGGGAGCGAACAGG
rnacentral:rRNA from 1 species